AGGGAUAGGACACAUAUAGUUCUACUUGUUGAGAUGAAGAAGAUGAAAAUCUCUUCCAUGUAGUUUAGUCUUGUUCCAACUCCCACCUCAACAAUUCAACUACACUAUAAGACCAUCUUUCUAUAAUUCAAGUCUCUGCAGAAAACCUUUUCAGUGGCUUAUCACCAUGUUUUUGUUUGUUUAUUUGGUUUUUAUUCUUGAAGUUCUUUCCCUCUCUCAUCACUACUUUUAAAAGUAAGCAACUCGAACGAGGCGAGGGAGCUGGUCGGUGGCCGCGGCCGAGUGGACGCAGAGAUGCAGAUCUUUGUGAAGACCCUGACGGGGAAGACCAUCACCCUUGAGGUCAAGCCCAGUGACACCAUCAAGAAUGUCAAAGCCAAAAUCCAAGACAAGGAGGGCAUCCCACCUGACCAGCAGCAUCUGAUAUUUGCGGGCAAACAGCUGGAGGAUGGCCGCACUCUUUCGGAUUACAACAUCCAGAAAGAGGCCACCCUGCACCUGGUGCUUCGUCUGCGAGGUGGCAUCAUUGACCCUUCCCUCCGCCAGCUCGCCCAGAAAUACAACUGCAACAAGAUGAUCUGCCGCAAGUGUUAUGCUCGCCUGCACUCCCCUGUGCUGUCAAAUGCCGUAAGAAGUGCGGCCACACCAACAACCUGCGCCCCAAGAAGAAGGUCAAAUAAGGCCCCUCCAUGGGCUCCUCCUCCUUUCCCCACAGGGCAGCCUCCUGCCCAAGCCCCGUGGCCCUUAUAAAGUUUCCCUUUAGUUGA